UACGUAGGCAGCGAGCGUUGUUCGGAGUUACUGGGCGUAAAGAGUGCGUAGGCGGUGUUCCAAGUCUGUUGUGAAAUCUCCCGGCUUAACUGGGAGGGUGCGGCGGAAACUGGAAUGCUGGAGUGUGGUAGAGGGAGGCGGAAUUCCCGGUGUAGCGGUGAAAUGCGUAGAGAUCGGGAAGAACACCAAUGGCGAAGGCAGCCUCCUGGGCCAACAUUGACGCUGAGACGGCGAAAGCGUGGGGAGCAAACAGG
rnacentral:rRNA from 1 species